UAAAUGUGUGUGUGUGUGUGUGUGUGUGUGUGUGUGUGUGUGUGUGUGUGUGUGUAGAUUAAACAUGAACGGGCCAAAACGGACAUGGCAGCAGGUCAAAAUCAAAUACAAGAACAUUCUGCAGAAUGCAGUGAAAAAGAAUACCCACAGACAAGGCACGGGUGGUGGGUCACCAAAGGCUGACCUUACCCCAGCAGAGGACAUGGCCUUGGAGCUAAAUAAAGGCAGGCCCGUCUUAGAGGGGAUCCCUGGGGGAAAGAGACGAGCAUAGGUUCCUCCCAAGAUGCCACCCGCUUCAUUCAAGUGCCUGGCAGCACUGUGUUCCUGUUAGAGCCACCAGCACAAGCACCAGACGAUGCUGAUCCAGGUGAAGGCCCCAGUGCAGCAGCAACAGCACAUGAUGGAGACGAUGAUGAGGAGGAGACCAUCUCUCUGGAUUCCAGAAGGCAUGAGGUAUCAUGUUAAGACUGUGAAAGUACUAUUUACUCUACAAUGGUGAGGAGUCCUCAUCAAAAUCAAAAAUCUAAUUUCUUUUACAGAACCCAGAUGCUAUACAGUGGGAAAACCAGCCUGGCAACAUAGUGCGUAUUAAUAAAAGGACACCACAUCCUGCCAAAUUCCAGCUGCGCUAAUUGUAUUGUGUUCACAGAGCUCACAAGCUAUCAGAAAGUUGUAUGGCAACCACCUCCGGCGCCAAAUAGAACUGGCAGACAUAGACAUUCAGUACAAGAAGAAAAAGAUGGAAAAUCUUGCACUGGAGUCCGAAAUAAAAAAGAGGACAAUUAGGAAACUGGACCUUGAAAUAAAAAAACUUGAGAGGGAGCUCCAAGAAGAUGACACAGCUCAAAAUAAAAAUUAGGUAUAUUCUCGUAAAGUCAAGUGAGCCAUGACAUAUGAGCUCUUAUUGUGAGCACACAGGACGGUGGCAUCUUUCUAAGGUUUUUUUUAUUUUCCCAGCAAUCAGUACAACCAAGUCAUCGUUAUAAGGCAUCGCCCUCUUUUGCCCACCCCCAGCACCAGGUGUGGCCACUAGCCUAUAUGAAGGCCCAAAAUUGUGUGUUCCUUUCUGCUCUGACAAUGGCAUGCCCAUUCGUGCGAGAUGUGGUGGAUGAAGAAGCACUUGUGCUGAGGAGCGCCUUCAGGCGAGAAAGGGUCUUCAGGGACCGGUUGGACCCACUGGCCUUCCCUGAUGACCAUCUAUAUGAAAGAUACAGGUUUUCUGCAGAUGGCAUCAGGUAUCUAUGCAGACUACUGGGUCCCAGGAUUAAGCACCGCACUGCACGGAGCCAUGCACUGAGUGUGGAGCAAAUGGUUUGUGUGGCCUUGCGCUUUUUGCUAGUGGAGCCUUCCUG